GACGAACGCUGGCGGCGUGCCUAACACAUGCAAGUCGAGCGGGGACUUAUGGAAUGAAGCUUCGGCAGAAUGAAGUAAGUUCUAGCGGCGGACGGGUGAGUAACGCGUGAGUAACCUGCCUAUCACUGGGGAAUAACGCAUCGAAAGGUGUGCUAAUACCGCAUGAGACCACAAUGUCGCAUGACGAAGGGGUCAAAGAUUUAUGGUGAUAGAUGGGCUCGCGUCUGAUUAGCUAGUUGGUGAGGUAACGGCCCACCAAGGCGACGAUCAGUAGCCGACCUGAGAGGGUGAUCGGCCACAUUGGAACUGAGAAACGGUCCAAAACUCCUACGGGAGGCAGCAGUGGGGAAUAUUGGGCAAUGGGGGAAACCCUGACCCAGCAACGCCGCGUGAAGGAAGAAGGUCUUCGGAUCGUAAACUUCUAUCCUUGGUGAAGAUAAUGACGGUAGCCGAGAAGGAAGCCCCGGCUAACUACGUG
rnacentral:rRNA from 1 species